CUGAUUAUUGAGAGGCACGUCAUUUCAAGGCUCGAAUCUCAAGCCGACGGUCUCUCAAACUCAAGCUCAAACAUUCAGUAGCUCAGUACGCGUCCAACAGUCGUUUCUGUAGGUUGGUUUGGUACCAAGCUCAAUCCAAAAUAAUUGUGUAUCAGUUAUCGCCGCCAACAAUAAUUGUUAUGUGGUAAUACUGACAUAUAGUGUUGAUUGGAUAUUUGAAAACAAAGAGAAGGCGUCUCUCAAUAAUACUGUGCAAUAAUCACUCAACAACUCAAUUGAGUCGAGUUGCUUCUAUAACUUUGAAAACAGCGAGUUAAUAACAGCUAUAAUAUUGUGAAGUGACUAAUCGCAGCAAAUUCCAAUUCCAAUGACUAUUGGAAAAUGUGUUGCUCGGGUUCAUUGACACUGCAGUUGAAUUUUCUCUAGUGUUAAUUUGUUAGGAAGUUGGAAUUUCAGUUCUGGAAAGAACUACCUCUUUAUCAUCGAGAAGUGUGUAAUGGUAUGCACAGCAUGAACUACUUGGGCAAAGUGAUCAGUAACUUCCGGUAUGCUUACAACGAGAUCAAUGCUGCGACUCUGACAGGGGCGAUCGAUGUGGUGGUCGUCGAGCAGCCUGAUGGCUCCUAUUCGUGCUCUCCCUUCCAUGUGCGCUUCGGAAAAAUCGGCGUUCUUCGCAGUAAGGAGAAAGUGGUGGACAUCGAGAUAAAUGGCGAGCCUGUUGACAUUCAUAUGAAAUUAGGAGAAUCUGGUGAGGCUUUUUUCGUUGAAGAAGUUGCACCAGGCGAAGAAGGAAUAGAUGAGUUUAUUCCUCCACACCUUGCUUGCUCACCGAUUCCUACAGAGUCGACAUUUGCAGAUCGAUUCUCGGCUGAAAUAGCGAAAGCAGAUCAGUGGAGUUUUGAUGUACACCGUGAUUCAGUGGAGCGAGAUGCGCAGGGAAACGAGUGCGACGAGGAAGAGGAGGAUGAAGAAAGGUCGGCAGAAAAGGGGCCGAUAGUGGUGCUGGCCGGCGGCAACCUGCCGAAAACGUUCAAGGCAGAGACGCUGGGCUCGGCGGCCGACAAGAGUCAAGUGGCCAGGAAGCUGAGCACGGUCAGCGGAGACUUCCGGCCAAUCGCCGAGACAGAUGACGUCACCGACGACUUUCGGCCAAUCGCCGCCGAGACCGAUGACGUCAAGCAGAGUGCAAGCACCACCGACCUCACCCUCGACGAGCCUCCUCUCUCUGCCUCAUCCUCGCUACCCUCCAACAAGCGCAAGCGCAGGAAGAAGUCGCUCAUGAAGAAGAAGAACAACCAUACCAACAGCAGCAGCACUCCUUCCAGCAGCUUCAACGCCAACAAUAGCAAGAAGUUGAUCGGUGCCAUCGAGAAAUCUGUCGAAGUUAGUGAUACCAUCGUCAAUCAACCGGUUGAUGCGGAUAGUAUUUUCCAGAUCGAGGAUAUUGAGCAGAAUGGUGGUUCAACAAUUCAGAAAGAGAGAGAAGAUUUCAAUCCCUGUGAUAAUGAAGGUGAACUGUCUCGUAUUCAAAACACUCCUCAAGAUUUGCAUUUCUUCAGUGAUACCGAAGUCACUCCUGGCUGCAGUCCUCACGAUGCUCGUCAGUACACACCGGUGCAAAGUGACACCGAGUUUGAAACGAAAAGGAUGCUAACCAGUGCAGAGAAUGAGAAUUGCAAGGGCUCUGACGAUCCUCCACAGCAGUCGUGGCGCUGGGGAGAGCUGCCAACCUCUAGUCAUGAUGACUCCGUCAAGCCUGAUGAUGCACAACGUUCGGUGUUAUACAACAUGCUGGGCUUCAUGAAGAGAACAAAGCAGCAGAGAAGGGGUACACAAGGAAUGUAUCUGUCAGAUAUCAAUAGCAUCGAAGAUCUUGAUCCCGAAGUAGCUGCUCUCUACUUCCCCAAUAUCUACACCAAGCCAAUCAAACAGCAUUCCAUCAAUUCAGGAGGUGGAAGUGGCAGUGGUAAUGAUGAGGAUGCUGAGUCCGGAAACGGGCCGUCUCUGCCGCAGUCGCCGCACAGCGUGGAGGGGGCCAUCGGCGGACCCAAGUCACUCGACAGCGACUUCGAAGAACCAAAGCACGGCUUGUUCAAUUCCAAAGAAAUCGCUUUGUCUCUUUGCGGUGGGCUAGAGGGCCAAGAAGGUCCUUCAGAUCAGAUGUUCCAGGAUCAUAUUGUCCAUUUCGAAGAGUUUGUUGAUAACCCGGGACUCCUUGAGAACCCUAAUCUUGUUGUCAAAAUCGACGGCAAAAAUUACAAAUGGCGAACUGCGUGUUCUAUUCUUAUUGCGCGCCUUGUAUUCAACAAGUCAUUGCCUGAGGAUGUCAUAUCCAGACUGUCUGAUGCAUCACCCAGGCAGGACAAGAGGAAAGGCCAGCGCCGGGACUAUUACCGAUCUUGGUUCACAUGGGGAGUUCGAGCUUCAGACCCAGUUAUUCCUGGUGGUAAAGACGCAAUCAAAGAUCAAGCUGAAAACUCCUUAGACAUUUUGGAAGCAACCAAUAUCGACAAUAAGAUACUCCCGCAGGAGUCAGUAAUUGAAAGUAAGGCAAGCAGUGUCACUGAAGCACCUCAAGAAACAGGUUCAGAUGUGAUUGGUGUCCCUGACCAGGAGCCAGCCGUGAUUGGCGAGCAGGCGCCCACUGCUCUCUCAGUCGUUGAUUCGCCUACUCAAAAAUCUAGUCUCACCACCAUUCCUGUUGUACCCCGGUCAACCAAACCUCGUCCUGGUGAACAAGUGUAUUCAACAUCAUCUGAAUCUGAUUCAGAGUUGGACCGUAGGCAGAGAGUUUCAAAGACGCCCAGUCUCAGCAUUCCUCUGGACAGAACUCACCGCUCUGGUAGCACUGACAAGUUCAAGAAAACAUUGCGUCUCUCAUCAGAUCUCAUUGCCAAAUUGAAUCUGAGGGAGGGAGCGAAUGAGGUGGAGUUCAGUGUAACAACAGCAUAUCAGGGCACUAGCAGAUGCAAAUGUUUCCUAUUCAAGUGGCGCUAUGAUGAUAAAAUUGUGAUAUCUGAUAUUGAUGGUACAAUUACCAAGUCUGAUGUUCUGGGUCACAUCUUGCCCAUUGUAGGAAAAGACUGGGCUCAAAGUGGAGUCGCAAAGCUUUUUACCAAAAUAAAGAAUAAUGGUUACAAGCUGCUCUACCUCUCUGCGAGAGCCAUAGGUCAAGCACGACUCACUAGAGACUAUCUCAGGUCAAUAAAACAGGAAGAUUUAUCUCUUCCAGAAGGACCCAUACUACUGAAUCCUACUAGUCUUCUAACUGCAUUUCACACAGAGGUGAUUGAGAAAAAGCCUGAAGAGUUCAAGAUAUCAUGUCUUCGAGACAUUCAAGCUUUGUUCCCGCCUAGCUCCUGUCCUUUUUACGCAGGUUAUGGAAAUAAGAUUAAUGAUGUUUGGGCUUAUCAGGCUGUGGGAAUACCAAUAUUCCGAAUUUUCACUAUUAACCAUAAGGGUGAACUGAAACAUGAACUCACUCAGACAUUCCAGUCAUCUUACUCUGGCCAGAGUUGUAUAGUGAACGAUCUUUUCCCACCUCAGUACUUGGUAGCACAGACGUGCUCUGCACCCUAUUUGUUAGCAUCUCAGUGAUGCCCUCUUCUCAACACUGAUGUAUUGAUGCGAUGUGCUGACUGAGCGUCUCUAGUCGAUCAAAUAUCUAGUCAGUCUAGUGUGUUAGGGGACCGCUGAGAGCUGAUGUUCAACUCUUGAUCUGUUUCAGCAUUAAAAUUUGGUAUUCGAACAUGAGCUACAUAGUUGACCAGAUGUUCCCGGCGGCGCCUGUCAGAGCAAAUCUCGAGGACUUCUCGCAGUUCUCGUUCUGGCGAGAGCCCCUACCCGACAUCGACAUUCAAAACGAUCUGAUUCAGCCACACAAAUAACUCACCUGUCUGCUAGCUAUUUGUGAUUUUUAAUACGCAUUAUUACUUAUAUCUCCGUAAAUAGAGAAAUUCCCUUAGUUCCGCCAAGUAAUCGAUAUUAUAAAUUGUGAAAAGAAUCAAUGUUUGCAUAUUAGAAAUUAUUCUG